rnacentral:tRNA from 1 species
ACGGUAGUGGUCUAACGGCAUGACACGACCCUCCCAAGGUCGAUAUCCGGGUUCAAUUCCCGGCUACCGUA